CAAAAGAAAUUUGUGGCAGGUGACAAUACACGCAAUGAUAAAUGAUAAAAAGUGCAAAGUAGGUUAGUCUACUUCCUGUCAUUUAAAUCAUUUAUGUGAGACAGGUAUUACUGGUCGUUUUUGAAGUAAAUAAUAGAUAAAUCCACCAAGCUUCCUCGUGCUGGAUAUAACCUAAUUCUUCAAGAAUCACGAUGUAACCAUAACGCUAUCAAGUGCCAAGAUGACAGCCUCUUGUACUAAUUGCUAUUAGCUGAUGCUAAUUCUGUAGAGAACACGUAAUUCCUAACCGAAAUGGAUUUCAUUCUUAUAGGUUUUAACAUCUUUAACAAAGCAGGUACUAUCCUUAAUAGCUUGUACAUUAUGAAUGUGCAGUCACAGAAAAGACCCGAAAUAUCUAUUCCAAGAGGGACAAGCAAAUUACAAGGAACAAUAAGUCAUCCAACCUUCGCAUAUAAAAAUAAGGAGAUGUGGUAUGAAACCAAAGAUAUAAUUAUUCAACAUAGGCCAAAUGACGAAGAUAUUUACAAUAUUCGGGGAACCUUCCGUACUUCAACAAUGAGUAAAACCGUAUAGUAAGCUUUAACAGGUACUGGCAUGCGAAAAUGUGAAUCAAUUUCUAGAGAGAAAACUAACAGUCUGGUUUUGGUUUUUGACCCGGAUUUGUUUCAGCUAAAUCGAUUUAUGACUAUUGAACAGCGGUACACUACUGUUGCAUUUAUUUAUGCUUAAAACAACAAACACAAAACAGCGACCAAUGGCAAUCCAUGACUUGGGACCGGUACAAAAAGAAUGAAGCUAGGUAAAAAUGUGUGUCAGCACUCAACUCUAUCUUAACUUUGGAGACAUAAUAUACCGAUCUUAGAGUCCUCAAAGUUCUGAAAGCUAGUUUAAUGAUUUGAUUUUUGGUGUUUUUACGCCACUUUUAAGCACCACUUUUGGGCUAUUUCGUGGCGGUCAGCUUUUAUUGGUGGAGGAAGCCGGAGUGCCCGGAGAAAACCACCGACCUUCGAUAGGAAAACUGACAAUCCUAGUCAAUUAAGAUUGGAGUCGAGUGCACCCGCACGAGCGGGGUUCGAACUCACAACCUCAGUGUUGACUGGCUAGUGAUUACAGUAGUAACUACUUAGACAACUCGGCCACCGAGGCCCCUUGCUAGUUUCAAGUCAAUUCAAUCUAAUAAAUAAACCUGUAUGUAUAAUAACAUUUCAGUCAGAUACAUAUGUAAUGCAUUUAGAGUAAAUACGUUAUAAACAGUUUGAAGAAAGCAUAGCUACAUACACAUUCCAGAAUGUAAGUAAUGUAAGGAUGUUUAAAUUAAUUGUAAUUUUUAAUCGUUUUAUUACGACAAACGUGUGCUUGCUAUAAGAAAAUCUACAGCCUUUAGAUAUGUAAAGCCAUAUAGAUAUUUGUAAUUUUGCACUGACUUUAUUUUUAUCAAAUAUCCAGUUGUGUCUUUAAGUAGCUGUUUCUCCGUAAAAAAAACUUCAAAGUAUAGCCAACUCUGAACAAGGAAGUAGCGAUUUGCAUCAGGGAUAUAUAUUCUUUUAUCUUAAAUGAUGGCUAAAUUUCAAUCAAGUAACUUCCGUAUUUUAUGCCAGUACCGAGGCUGGUGCUGCACUCGAGGAAUAACAGAGCACAAGCAGAGGCUUCGAACCAGUGGUAGUAAUAUGAUACACGGUACAAUAUUUACUACACAAGAUGACCUAUUAAAUCUGUCAUAUCUCAACAAUAUUUUAUAAAUUCACUUUUCAUUUUUUUAUUUGGUUAAGGUCCUUAGUUGGAAUAUUACAUUUUUAUAUCAUAAAAAAGUAUAUUUUCAGUGCAAUCGAUUAACCAUAGUUGGUAAAGAUCUAAAACAAUUUGUUUACGAAAAAAAAAUACUGAAAAAAAAAUGAAGUAACAAAAUGAUCGAUCUUUAAGGCAAAUUUAAAAAACAGCGGAAGUCCAUAAAAAUUAACAAAACUAAACACUCGACUUUAUUUAAUCUGUCUUAUUCCUGUCUUGGUACAGACAUUUUCCGAAAAAAUGGUGGGUUAAACCUCGUUUUGCAGCUAGCUUACUUAAUCUCCAACUUGUAUGACAAGUGGCUAUUGUUCCGUUAUAUUGACAAAAGUAGCCUUAACAACCCAACCAAACAUAAUUAGCUAAGGUGACAAUAAUUGGGAUUCAGUAGCCGAAAUUGUGUAAACAUACAUCAUAGAUAUAUAACAUUACUAAAUUAAAUAAUAAAAAACAAACAAAAACAAUAAUCAAGAACUGUGUAUAAAUCUAAAAAAGACGCUAACAAAAACAUGAAAAACAUUUUGGAUUUUUAAAUAUUUUGUUAUUUGUCAGUACUUUUAGAACUGGUGAUUUAAGAGGGGAAGGUUCUCCUAUUGACAGAUUCCAAAAUUUCCUGUUAAUUUAUAAUGAACAAGGCAAAACUAUUCAACUACUUUUUUUUACAAUAAUAUACAGGAGCAACCUUUUUUUGCUCAAUGUUGUAUUUAUUUUUGUCAUUUAUUUAUUUUGAAAACAUUUGUUUUUCACUUUUCAAUAGAAACAAGUUGAUUUUUACCAAUAAGUUUAAAAUCAAACAAUUCUUCGAAAAAAAAACCAAACUAUGUUAUACAUGUUAUAAAAAGUUUUAAAGUAAAGAUUUAUUUUUUACAUACACUAUAUAAUUAUGUACACAUGUACAUGAUACAUUAACGGAACAUGUGUUUUGAGGCUUGCUAAUAUGAAAUAAGAAUAGGUAAUACACAGGAUUUUAAUACUGAUUAAGUUAUUAACAGAGUUUACAUUAUAAGCAAUAAAUAAAUGUACACAAUAACAUAGCAAUGAUACAGGCUUAUAAUGUGGUAUCAUAGACGUGCUUUUCGUCUCUAUAAGACUCAUCAGUGAUGCUAUAAUCAAAACGGUACUAAGGUCAAAUCGAAUGCGAAGUUGAAAAGAAUUAAAAACCAAAACUUCCGAAAAGUGUGCCAAAUAAGGCUAAGUCUAUUUAUGCGUGGGGGUAGAUAAACCUUGGAGUUUCGAAAACAAUUAAUUGCAUUGAAGAAGAGAAAAAAAGACAUCUGACAUAUUGAUUCAUAAAACUAUAAAAGUUUAAAAAUGGGAAAGCAUUAUGUAAUCAGAUAAUAAGUUAAGGCUAAAAAGAAAGGAGAUUAGGGUUAUUUACUGCUUACGAUUUACAAAAAGCAAAUUCACAUUUUUCAGAUUACUUUAUGUUCAUAUAUGUAUUGUUAUGUAACGACAUAUAUAACAACAUGGAAAUUAAUAUCCAAUAUUUGAAUUCAAAUAAAAAAUAGACAAAACAAUUUGCCAUAUUUGUUAGAUAACAUGCUAAAUGGGAUUUGCUAAUUGGUACUGCCAUAUUAAAAUGAGCUUCUGAUUUUUCCAAUUGAUAAGGGACUUUCCGUUUUGAAUAUUCCUUGGAGUUGGGUAUUUUUGUUAUUUUUCUUUUUUUUAAGAAUGAAUAUCUCUGCAGAGUGUUUUUACAUUUUUGACUACAGAAUACGUUCAGACAGUUUAGAUUCUACAUAUCCAGACUUUUUCAGUCAGAGUCGUUUAGAAUGUGUCCAGGCAAUAUUUAACUGCUUAAAGACUGUUAAGAAUGUGUUGAGAAAAAUAAAGUCAAUGGUAAAAUGUACCAAGUCAGGAAUUUCCCAGAAAUGAUUAAACAUAUUGAAUAAAUCCGAACACCAAUUGGUUCAUGCGACUGUCAUUCAAGUGAGAGGUUUAGCUAGCUAUAAAACCAGUUUAACCCAUUAUUUUCUACAUAAGGAAAUGCCUGUACUAAGUCAGGAAUAUGACAGUUGUUUUCCAUUCGUUUGAUGUGUUUGAGCUUUUGAUUUUGCCAUUUGUUAAGGAACUUUCCGUUUUGAAUUUUCCUUGGAGUUCAGUAUUUUUUUUUAUCUGACUUUUCAGUUAAAUGACAGAUCAGAUUCCUUUCCUUGUAUCUUAAGAUGUAAGACCGCAAAAGCAUGUCGACGGGGAGUUAAGACACCGACACAUCAUAUCGGUCAUCUAAUUUGCGAUGGUGACUGUAAAACUUAUGUAGUCUCGAUUUCAGUCGUUCUUCCUCAUACCUCUGAAGUAUUUUCAAAAGGCCGUCAGGAUAUGUUUCAGACAAGAAACACUUCAAUUUGGGCAAAUAUAGCUGCAAUAGAGAAUAAGAACAGCAAAUCACAGCUGGGUCAAUAUCCCUAAUGCGCUUCAAAUUGAGGAACUCAAAAGUAGUGCGUUAACAAAAAUAUCUGUGCUGUAAUAUUGGACAUGUUUCAAUUUUUUAAUAAGUGACUGAACUUAACCAUUCAGUUAACCAUUUUACUCAUUUGGAGAGCAGAGGAACAUGGAAUAAAGGUUUAUAAACUAUGGAGUUAUUAAAUUAUGAAAAGAAGUAAAUUUGCAAAGAACGUAUUGUGUGAAAAAGGGGAUUUCUAUCUCGAGAAGCCGCAUCGCAAAAGGCUUUUUGGGGUGUGCUAAAUUAUGGAAAACAAAUCGCACUUUGUAACCCGAAAAUUUAACCACAUAUGUGCGAAUAUCUCAGCUUUGAAACAAUCCAUCACAUAUAUCCAAGUUUACGAUAUGGGCAGAUAAAUGGAGGAAAUGGCUACCUCUACCGCCUACCUGAAAUGAAUUGCUCAUCUUUACCCAGCUACGAUGAGUAUCUUAAAAUGUACCCGCUAUGUUAGUUAAAGAUAACAAAUUUAGAUAAAGUGUUGGUUAGAAAUAAAUAUAGCACCAUGCAUUAAGAAAACGCCGUACUUUCAAUUAAGAACGAGAAGCAAUUUUUUUUUUUAGUUUGAAUUUUACUAAAACAUCCAAUAAAACGUAAAAAUCAAAGUAAUGAUUAAUUCAACAUUAGUUGUUGAUUAAACAUUUGAUGGAAGUCUUCGAAAUUGGCUUAUCUAAUUGAAAUUGUCCAGCGUUUCAAACAAAUAAGCGCCAGCAAAUAAUUUAACUUGAAUUUUUAGACAAUACCAAUAGUCAAUUAUUUGAGUAAAUAUAGCUGAUACGUAAGUUAUGGAUAGUAUUUGUUGAAAAACAAAAUGAAAAUGAAAAUAAAGUUCACUGGAUGUAUGUGAGGAACAAUUUAAAUCAUGUACAUGUCAGAGCAAGUUCAAUUGUAGAUCAGUUUUUGGUUUGAAAUAUGAGGAAUGUCUUGUAAAACACCGUACUUUCAAUUUAGAAUGACAAGUAAUUUUUGUGUGUGUUUGAAUUUCCAAAAAAAAGUCAAAUAAAACGUAAAAACGUUAGAGUAAUGAUUUAUUCAACAUCAGUUGCUGAUUUAAAAUUCGAUGGAAAUCUACGAAAUUGUCUUAUCUAACUGAAAAUAGUUCAGCGUUUUUUUUUUAUUAACAGGUGUUUCCAAAAAACCACUCGAAAAUAAUUAAACUUGAAUUUUCAGACAAUAUCAAUAGUCAAUUGAUUGAGCAAAUAUAGCUGCUAUGUAAGUUAAAUAUCUUGAUGAAAAUGAACACAAAGUUAACUGACUGAAUAACACUAAACAUCCUAAAGCAAUGUGCAACUAAAGUUUUGAACAAAAAUCGUUUAAAAUAAAUUUUUGUUGUAAUAACAAUUUUAUUUUAUAACAUUUUAUAUUAAUUAGUAUAGUAAUUUUCAUUGUUAUUAAUAAAUGUUAUAUGAGUAUUAUAAACCAAAUCUUGAAUUCUAUCCUAAUUUUAUCCUAUUUUGGGGAAAUUUCAGAAAUUCAAAUGUGACUUCACUUUUUUUGCGCUGAUCUCUUUGGCUAACUCGGCUGUGAAUUUUUAUGUGCUGGUUUAUGUUGUUUUAUGUAUCCGUUUUUAUUCUGUAGUUAGUCACCACUUCGGUCUUAUCAUGUAUAUCUAUUAUAUAGUCAUUUUUAUAAAUUUACUGUUUGCAAAAGUAUGAAUUAUUCUAAAUACUAAGGAUUUACUUAUCCCAGACAUAUAACCUUAGCCGUGUUUGGCGCAACUUUUUGGAACUUUUGGUCCUCAAUGCUCUUCAACUUUGUACUUGUUUUGGCUUUCGAACUUUUUUGAUCUGAGCGUCACUGGUUAGUCUUGUGUGGACGAAACGCGCGUCUUGCGUAUUAAAUUUUAAACCUGGUACCUUUUGUUAGCUAUUAUUCGUAUGUUUCUCAGUCCUAUAUGUUGUCCCAUUUAUUUGUAUUGUAGUCCUGUCAUGUAAUGUUAUCAUUUUAAUGUAAUAUUUAACAUUGCCAUAAAAGCGGUAGGUUUGGCUAGUCACAAAACCAGGUUCAACCCACCAUUUUUUUCUUAAAAUGUCCUGUACCAAGUCACGAAAAUGACCAUUGUUAUAUUAUAGUUCGUUUCUGUGUGUGUUACAUUUUAAUGUUGUGUUUCUGUUGUGUCGUAGUUCUCCUCUUAUAUUUGAUGUGUUUCCCUCAGUUUUAGUUUGUAACCCGGAUCUGUUUUUUUCUCAAUCGAUUUAUGAAUUUCGAACAGCGGUAUACUACCGUUGCCUUUAUUUAUGCAUCUAUAUCUAAGAGAGCAAAUCACAGCUACGGUGAGUAAUUCAAAUGUACUGUCUUUGUUAUUUAAAGAGAAUAAAUUAAAAUAAAUAGUUGAUGAAAUUGAAUUAAACUAGCGUGCAUUUAGAAAACACAUACUUCCAAUUAAGAACAACAUGUAUUUUUUUUUGUGUUUAAAUUUUACUAAAAAAAAUUAAAAAAAUACGUAAAAAAUUAAGGUAAUGAUUAAUUCACCAUCAGUUGUUGAUUUUAAAUUUUGAAUUAGCCUUUGCCAUUGUUGUAUUUAAUUGAAAAUUGUUCAGCGUUUUUAACUAAUAGGUGUUUCCAAGAGACCGCCAGAAAGAAAUAAACCUGAAUUUACAGACAGUAGCAAUAGUCAAUUAUUUGAGCAAAUAUAGCUACUAUGUAAGUUAUGAAUAACAUUUGUUGAAAAACAUAAUAAAAUUAAGUUAACUGAAAGUACCUGAAAAACAAAUAACAUAAUAUAGCAAAGUUAAAUUGUUUUUGGUUUGAAAUAUUAGGAAUGUUUCAGAAAUUGUCGAAAUAUUGAUCAAAUCUGAACGCAAAUUAGUUUAACGCUAAUACAACCGGUAUUUCAUGUUGACCAUCGAAAAAAAUGUUUACAAGAAGUUUCAAACCAUUUAUUGUUCAACUAUUUGAGCAUAAAAAACGGCAUUGUGAGUUGCGUAUUUACAUGUUUGAAACGGCUGAAGACAAUCUUCUUGCAUAUCGAGAAUUUCUGUCAUAUAUAGUGUUUUCUUUUGCCGUUUUCAUUAAUUUAUCUUUAAAACAAAAGAAAAAGAAAAAAACGGAAAAUUACAAUUAUGGUGUUUAUCUCAACACGCAUUGUCUGUGUUAUCUAAAGAUACUUAAUUCAGAUAAAACUUUGGAUACAAGAAUACAUAAUAGCCUGUAAAAAAGCACCGUUAUCGCAAUUUAAACUAUAAAUCAUUGUUAAUCUUUUGAGUCUUGUUUUCUCAAAAAAAAAAAAAAAAAAAAAAAAAAUCAACCUCGACCUUUUUAAUUUUAACGGAAAUUAUUAAACGUUUUUGGCUGGGGAUAUAUAGCUCUAUCGUCAAGAUUAAAUUUGCUUAAAAUAGAUGAAAAUGAAAACAAGGUUAACUGCCUGAAUAACUCUAAACAUUCUAAAACAAUGUUUGACCUACGUUUUGAAACAAAAAUCGUUUAAGGUGGGUUUUUUUUUCUGAUAAUGUUUUUAUGCAUUUAUAUUUUAGAGAGAAUAAAAACAGGAAAUCACAGCUGGGUCAAUAUCCCUAAUACGCCUCAAAUUGAGGAACUUAAAAGUUGUCCGUUAACAAAAAGAAUAUGUGCGGUGAUAUUGGACAUGUUUCAAUUUUUAACAAGUGACUGAGCUGAUGCUGACUUAGAGAGCAGAGGACCAUGAAAAAGUUGUCAAAACUAUAGAGUUAUUUAAUGUAUACAAAGAACUAAAUGUUUUAAAGAACUGAUUGUAUGAAAAAAAGCGAUUUCUUUACCUCGAGAAGCCGCAUCACAAAAGGCUUUUCAGUGUCUGCUAAAUUAUUGAAAAAGUAAUUCACUUCGUACCUUGAAAAUUUAACCGCAUAUGUGAAAAUGUCCAAGCUUCGAAACAAGCCAUCAAACAUAUCUAAGUUUACGAUAUGGGCAGAGAAAUAGAGAAAAAAAGGCUACCGUUACUGACUACCUGAAAUGAAUUGCGCACCUGUACCCAAUUUGUGGACUUUAUUUUAGAAGUUGUCAGACUGAUUAAAUAUUGAUUGCGUCACCAGAGCAAAUUAUAAAAAUGAAGGUUUGUUGUCUUUUAUGAAUACCUAGGUAUCACAGUUUUUGAUAAAACAUUAUUUAUAAAGAUGAGCAACAAUUUUGCUUUAGAAAUGUAUUCCUGGCACGGAACUGGAACACUUCUUUUAGACACAAUCAAAAUCGGUGUUUACAUGAGACGAUGAAAUGCACAUGUCAUUGACUUAAAGAAGGGACUAACUUUUUAUGGAAACAUUUAAUAUUGUUAAAUUGCAAGUCAACAUGACACAACAAAAGACAAUUUAUGCCAUUAUCAUUAAAAUUGACAUGAAUAGCUGAUAGUGCAAGGGAAAUAACACACUUCAUACGAGUAUUUGAUACAUGUGUUGUACACCAAUAAUUUGACCAUUUAUUAGCAGCUGGUCACUAACACAAUCAAAUAAACAGAUAAAAUGAAAAAAAAUGCAUAAUACUUUGAAGAAUUUAUUUUUUUUUCUCUCAUUUAUAUAGUUUGUAUUCAAUAAAUGAAAUGAUAUAACAAACUGAUCAAUGUUUUGUCUUAUUUCAGUUACUGACGUAUCAUUCCAGUUUAUCAUGAGACGGCAAUUAGAGGUUUUAAAAAGUUCUGAAUUACUGUUAAACAUUGCAUUUUUAUCUAGCAAGCUCUUAAUUGUAUAUUUAUGGUAUUUAUGCAACUAGAAUUGAAGUCAGUAUGUUGAAAAUAUCCUGAUUUGAAAACUGUUGCUAUGAUCUGGACAUUAGAUAAAAAUGCUUAAUUACUGAUCUUUUCGUCUCGACAUCUUAAGCUAAACCCUUGGGCAACUGUUUGUUAUGUAGCACUGCAAACUGUUGUUAGCAUAUUUCUAAUUAGUCGUUAUUUAAUGCAAUCAAAAUACGUGUGAUGCCAUAAUGAUUACUGAAAAAACCAAAUCUGCAUUUCUCACUAAUAAAGGGUUUUCACUGAAAUACAUCUAAAAAAAUAUAUAUUUUAAGUAGUAUAAUGUGACAAUUUUUAGAAAUUUGCUCUUUAUUGCGCUUUCAAUUAUAUGAUAACAAUGAUGUUCACAGCAGAUAAGAGUGGUUAUUAACGUUGAAAUACCAGAUUUCUAGUGGUAACAAUUUUAAAGUAUUUUUUAGGGUUUUUGGAAAAAAUCUACAUUUUUGCAUCACUUCUCAAUUUAAAUGCACUUUUAGACACCAGAAAUAUUUAUUAAAUGCUUAUAACAAGGUAUAUGUAUUGUGAUUGAAGGUUAUCAUCAAAUAUUUCAUCUAUAUUGUGACCUAUUAAGGAAUACUGGAAGAAAUCAAGUAUACUUACACAUUGUAUUCAGAAUGAUUAAAUAUAGCGAUAUUAGGGUAAAUGCAUUCUAGUGCUGAAACAACCUUAUUUUCUUUCAGAAAUGAACAAAAACACACAGAUUUCUUCAGAAAGCUAUACAGAAAAAGAUCAUACAAAAUACUUUAAAAAAUCAGAACUAUUGAUUUCAACAUGGUUCAAUAUCCCAAAUGCGCCUCAAAUUUAGGAACUCAAAGGUAGUGCGUUAACAAAACGUAUAGUGCAUAUAAAUUGGAAAUGUUUCAAUUUUCAACAAGUGACUGAGCUAACCCAUUUGUCCUGAUGUAGAGAGCAGAGGACCAUAGAAUAAAGGUGUAAAAACCAUGGAGUUAUUAAAUGUGUGCAAAGAACUAAAUUCUCAAAGAACUUAUUCUGUAAAAAAAAGGAUUUUUUUACCUCGAGAAGCCACAUCACAAAAGGCAUUUCGGGCAGUGCUCAAUUAUGGAAAAACGAAUCUCACUUCGUAUCCCGAAAAUUUAACCACAUAUGUGCAAAUGUCUCAUCUUCGAAACGAGCCAUCGUAUUUAUACAAGUUUACGAUAUGGGCAGAGGAAUGGAGGAAAAGGCUACCUCUACCGCCUACUUGAAAUGAAUUGCUAAUCGUUACGCAGCUAAGACUAAAGUAUCAAGCAGUACAAUGUUUGAUUGAGACGUACCUACAUUGCGUGUGUUCAGUGGAUAUAUUGAUGAUGUUCUUUCCAUAAACAAUCCAAACUUUUCUGAUUGGGUUCAAUUAAUAUAUUCUCCAGAACUAGACAUUAAAGAAACAAUAAUAGACACGGCUUCCUCUGCCUCAUUUUUAGACUUAUACCUCGAAUUUGACAUAAGCAGUCAUCUCAGUACCAGAACCAAUAACAAACGAAAUGAUUAGAAUUUUGAAAUUAUAAAUUUCCACCACCUUAGCAGCAAUAUAUAAACUUCACCUUCAUAUGGGAUAUACAUUUCCCAAGUCAUUCUGUAUUCAAGAGCUUGCAGCUGCUACUCAGACUUCAGACUCAAACGUCACCAGUGUCUGAGCAGAAAGUUGAUGAACCUUGGUUAUGUCAAAAAACGUCUCGUCCUUUUUCUAAAGAGGUUCAUCGAAAGGUACCAAGACCUUGAUGACAAAUAUUCCGUAUCAACUUCACAAAUAAUACACGAAGCAUAGAUUCUAGAGAGAAUAAAAACAGCACAUCACAGAUGGGUCAGUAUCCCAAAUGCUCCUCAAAUUGAGGAACGCGAAAGUAGUCCGUUAACCAAAAGUAUAUGUGCGGUGAUAUUAGACGUGUUUUAAUUUUAACAAGUAACUGAGCUUAACCAAUUGUGCUGAUGUAGAGAACAGACGAAAAUGCAAUAAAGGUGUCAAAACUAUGGAGUUAUUUAAUGUAUGCAAAGAAGUACAUUUUCAAAAGAACUUAUUGUUUGAAAAAAAGGAUCUUUUUUACCUCGAUAAGCCGAAUCACAAAAGGCAUUUCGGGCAGUGCUAAAUUAUAAAAAAAUGAUUUUCACUUCGUACCCCGAAAAUUUAACCACAUAUGUGCAUAUGUCUCAACUUCGAAACGAGCCAUCAUACAUAUUCAGGUUUAUGAUAUUGGCAAAGAAAUUGAAGUAAAGGUUACCUCUACCGCUUACCUAAAAUGAAUAGCUCAUCUUUACCCAGCUGCGACAGAAUAAAAACAGCACAAGACAGCUGGGUCAAUAUCCCUAAUGCGCCUCAAAUUGAGGAACUCGAAAGUAGUCCGUUAACAAAAAGUAUAUGUGCGGUGAUAUUAGACGUGUUUUAAUUUUAACAAGUAACUGAGCUUAACCAAUUGUGCUGAUGUAGAGAACAGACGAAAAUGCAAUAAAGGUGUCAAAACUAUGGAGUUAUUUAAUAUGUGCAAAGAAGUACAUUUUCAAAAGAACUUAUUGUUUGAAAAAAAGGAUCUUUUUUACCUCGAUAAGCCGAAUCACAAAAGGCAUUUCGGGCAGUGCUAAAUUAUAAAAAAAUGAUUUUCACUUCGUACCCCGAAAAUUUAACCACAUAUGUGCAUAUGUCUCAAUUUCAAAACGAGCCAUCAUACAUAUUCAAGUUUAUGAUAUUGGCAAAGAAAUUGAAGUAAAGGUUACCUCUACCGCUUACCUAAAAUGAAUAGCUCAUCUUUACACAGCUGCGACAGAAUAAAAACAGCACAAGACAGCUGGGUCAAUAUCCCUAUUGCGCAUCAAAUUGAGGAACUCGAAAGUAUUCCGUUAACAAAAAGUAUAUGUGCGGUGAUAUUAGACGUGUUUUAAUUUUAACAAGUAACUGAGCUUAACCAAUUGUGCUGAUGUAGAGAACAGACGAAAAUGCAAUAAAGGUGUCAAAACUAUGGAGUUAUUUAAUGUAUGCAAAGAAGUACACUUUCAAAAGAACUUAUUGUUUGAAAAAAAAGGAUCUUUUUUACCUCGAUAAGCCGAAUCACAAAAGGCAUUUCGGGCAGUGCUAAAUUUUAAAAAAUGAUUUUCACUUCGUAACCCGAAAAUUUAACCACAUAUGUGCAUAUGUCUCAACUUCGAAACGAGCCAUCAUAUAUAUUCAAGUUUAUGAUAUUGGCAAAGAAAUUGAAGCAAAGGUUACCUCUACCGCUUACCUAAAAUGAAUUGCUCAUCUUUACCCAGCUGCGACAGAAUAAAAACAGCACAAGACAGCUGGGUCAAUAUCCCUAAUGCGCCUCAAAUUGAGGAACUCGAAAGUAGUCCGUUAACAAAAAGUAUAUGUGCGGUGAUAUUAGACGUGUUUUAAUUUUAACAAGUAACUGAGCUUAACCAAUUGUGCUGAUGUAGAGAACAGACGAAAAUGCAAUAAAGGUGUCAAAACUAUGGAGUUAUUUAAUGUAUGCAAAGAAGUACAUUUUCAAAAGAACUUAUUGUUUGAAAAAAAGGAUCUUUUUUACCUCGAUAAGCCGAAUCACAAAAGGCAUUUCGGGCAGUGCUAAAUUAUAAAUCAAUGAUUUUCACUUCGUACCCCGAAAAUUUAACCACAUAUGUGCAUAUGUCUCAAUUUCGAAACGAGCCAUCAUACAUAUUCAAGAUUAUGAUAUUGGCAAAGAAAUUGAAGUAAAGGUUACCUCUACCGCUUACCUAAAAUGAAUUGCUCAUCUUUACACAGCUGCGACAGAAUAAAAACAGCAUAAGACAGCUGGGUCAAUAUCCCUAAUGCGCCUCAAAUUGAGGAACUCGAAAUUAGUCCGUUAACAAAAAGUAUAUGUGCGGUGAUAUUAGACGUGUUUUAAUUUUAACAAGUAACUGAGCUUAACCAAUUGUGCUGAUGUAGAGAACAGACGAAAAUGCAAUAAAGGUGUCAAAACUAUGGAGUUAUUUAAUGUAUGCAAAGAAGUACAUUUUCAAAAGAACUUAUUGUAUGAAAAAAAGGAUCUUUUUUACCUCGAUAAGCCGAAUCACAAAAGGCAUUUCGGGCAGUGCUAAAUUAUAAAAAAAUGAUUUUCACUUCGUACCCCGAAAAUUUAACCACAUAUGUGCAUAUGUCUCAAUUUCGAAACGAGCCAUCAUACAUAUUCAAGAUUAUGAUAUUGGCAAAGAAAUUGAAGUAAAGGUUACCUCUACCGCCUACCUAAAAUGAAUAGCCCAUCUUUACCCAGCUGCGACAGAAUAAAAACAGCACAAGACAGCUGGGUCAAUAUCCCUAAUGCGCCUCAAAUUGAUGAACUCGAAAGUUGUCCGUUAACAAAAAGUAUAUGUGCGGUGAUAUUAGACGUGUUUUAAUUUUAACAAGUAACUGAGCUUAACCAAUUGUGCUGAUGUAGAGAACAGACGAAAAUGCAAUAAAGGUGUCAAAACUAUGGAGUUAUUUAAUAUGUGCAAAGAAGUACAUUUUCAAAAGAACUUAUUGUUUGAAAAAAAGGAUCUUUUUUACCUCGAUAAGCCGAAUCACAAAAGGCAUUUCGGGCAGUGCUAAAUUAUAAAAAAAUGAUUUUCACUUCGUACCCCGAAAAUUUAACCACAUAUGUGCAUAUGUCUCAAUUUCGAAACGAGCCAUCAUACAUAUUCAAGUUUAUGAUAUUGGCAAAGAAAUUGAAGUAAAGGUUACCUCUACCGCUUACCUAAAAUGAAUUGCUCAUCUUUACACAGCUGCGACAGAAUAAAAACAGCACACGACAGCUGGGUCAAUAUCCCUAAUGCGCCUCAAAUUGAGGAACUCGAAAGUAGUCCGUUAACAAAAAGUAUAUGUGCGGUGAUAUUAGACGUGUUUUAAUUUAACAAGUAACUGAGCUUAACCAAUUGUGCUGAUGUAGAGAACAGACGAAAAUGCAAUAAAGGUGUCAAAACUAUGGAGUUAUUUAAUGUAUGCAAAGAAGUACAUUUUCAAAAGAACUUAUUGUUUGAAAAAAAAGGAUCUUUUUUACCUCGAUAAGCCGAAUCACAAAAGGCAUUUCGGGCAGUGCUAAAUUAUAAAAAAAUGAUUUUCACUUCGUACCCCGAAAAUUUAACCACAUAUGUGCAUAUGUCUCAACUUCGAAACGAGCCAUCAUACAUAUUCAGGUUUAUGAUAUUGGCAAAGAAAUUGAAGUAAAGGUUACCUCUACCGCUUACCUAAAAUGAAUAGCUCAUCUUUACCCAGCUGCGACAAAAUAAAAACAGCAUAAGACAGCUGGGUCAAUAUCCCUAAUGCGCCUCAAAUUGAGGAACUCGAAAGUAGUCCGUUAACAAAAAAGUAUAUGUGCGGUGAUAUUAGACGUGUUUUAAUUUUAACAAGUAACUGAGCUUAACCAAUUGUGCUGAUGUAGAGAACAGACGAAAAUGCAAUAAAGGUGUCAAAACUAUGGAGUUAUUUAAUGUAUGCAAAGAAGUACAUUUUCAAAAGAACUUAUUGUUUGAAAAAAAAGGAUCUUUUUUACCUCGAUAAGCCGAAACACAAAAGGCAUUUCGGGCAGUGCUAAAUUAUAAAAAAAUGAUUUUCACUUCGUACCCCGAAAAUUUAACCACAUAUGUGCAUAUGUCUCAACUUCGAAACGAGCCAUCAUACAUAUUCAGGUUUAUGAUAUUGGCAAAGAAAUUGAAGUAAAGGUUACCUCUACCGCUUACCUAAAAUGAAUAGCUCAUCUUUACCCAGCUGCGACAAAAUAAAAACAGCACAAGACAGGUAGGUCAAUAUCCCUAUUGCGCCUCAAAUUGAGGAACUCGAAAGUAUUCCGUUAACAAAAAGUAUAUGUACGGUGAUAUUAGACGUGUUUUAAUUUUAACAAGUAACUGAGCUUAACCAAUUGUGCUGAUGUAGAGAACAGACGAAAAUGCAAUAAAGGCGUCAAAACUAUGGAGUUAUUUAAUGUAUGCAAAGAAGUACACUUUCAAAAGAACUUAUUGUUUGAAAGAAAGGAUUUUUUUUACCUCGAUAAGCCGAAUCACAAAAGUCAUUUCGGGCAGUGCUAAAUUAUAAAAAAUGAUUUUCACUUCGUACCCCGAAAAUUUAACCACAUAUGUGCAUAUGUCUCAACUUCGAAACGAGCCAUCAUACAUAUUCAAGUUUAUGAUAUUGGAAAAGAAAUUGAAGCAAAGGUUACCUCUACCGUUUACCUAAAAUGAAUAGCUCAACUUUACCCAGCUGCGACAGAAUAAAAACAGCACAUGACAGCUUGGUCAACAUCUCUAAUGCGCCUCAAAUUGAGGAACUCGAAAAUAGUCCGUUAACAAAAAGUAUAUAUGUGGUGAUUUAAGACAUGUUUUAAUUUUAACAAGUGACUGAACUUAACCAGUUGUGCUGAUUCAGAGAGCAGAGGAACAUAAAAUAGUGGUGUAAAAAAUAUAGAGUCUUUAAUGUAUGCAAAGAACUAGAUUUUUAAAAGAAUUUAUUGUUUGAAAAAAGGGAUCUUUUUACUUCGAGAAGCCGCAUCACAACAGGCAUUUCGGGCAGUGCUAAAUUAUGAAAAAUGAUUCUCACUUUGUACCUCGAAAAUUUAACCACAAAUGUGCAAAUGUCUCAGCUUCCAAAUCGACCCAUCAAACAAAUCCAAGUUGAUGAUAAUGGCAAAGAAAUUGAAACAAAAGUUACCUCUACCGCUUACCUAAAAUGAAUAGCUCAUCGUUACCCAGCUGCGAGAGAAUAAAAACAGCACAUCACAGAUGGGUCAAUAUCCCAAAUGCGCCUUAAAUUAAGGAACUCAAAAGUUGUACAUUAACAAAAAGUAUAUGUCCGGUGAUAUUAGACGUGUUUUAAUUUUAGCAAGUGAAUGAGUUCAACAUGCACUUGUAAAAGUAUUUAAUAUGCUGUAUAUAAUUAUAUCAGAAUUCAAAUGAAGCAGACAUAUUUGUGCUGAUUUAGAGAGCAAAGGAUCAUGACAUAAAGGUGUAAAAACUAUGGAGGUAUUUAAUGUAUGCAAAGAACUGCAUUUUUAAAAGAACUUAUUGUUUGAAAAAAAAGGAUGUUUUUACCUCGAGAAGCCGCAUCAGAAAAGGCAUUUCAGGCAGUGCUAAAUUAUGGAAAAAUAAUUGUCACUUCGUACCCCUCAAAUUUAACCACAUAUGUGCAAAUUUCUCAGCUUCGAAACGAGCCAUCAUACAUAUCCAAGUUCAGGAUAUGGGCAAAGGAAUGGAGGAAAAGGGUACCUCUACCGCUUACCUGAAAUGAAUUGCUAAUCUUUACCCAGCUGCGGUGAGUAUCUCAAAAUUUUAGUGCUACAUUUUAAUGCACUGCAACAAAUCAUAGUGUCUUUUCUCAGAGAAAUGGAACAAACAAUGUCAAAAUGUUCAGGUUUUAAUGAAAUCUUUGUUUGGGUAAUUUGAUGCAAGCAUACAAUCUAUAGUGUGUCUUAUACUGUUAGAAGCAAAUAAUGUUU